AAAAAGCCUAUUGAGGAAAGAAAGAAAUACAAGGUUAAUCACAGAGAGUCGGACUGAGCUGAGAGUCGAUAUUAAACGGUAUUUUAAUACAUUCCUCAGGUUAUCUAUUGAAAUAAUAGUAAGUAGAUACGUGUCUGUCGUUACCAGAAAAGAGAUGUAGCAAGUGCUAUAAUCAGGGUGGUACCGCGGAGUUUAGUCCUUCGCCCCUCAU
rnacentral:ncRNA from 1 species